UUUCAGACUUACGAAAUAAGAUAUGAUUUCAACUCUAACUGUCCAGUUUUUCACCUUUAAAAGGGUAUUGAAUAAUUCGUAACAUUAUAGUUAAUGCAAAUAAUACAUGUGACAAAUUGUACCAUGGCAACGUACAUGUUUAGUAAGAUCUCGUUUCAUUCUUCAAAUUAAAUGGUAGAAAAUAUGCAGAGCAGACAAACAGAGGAGGUUUUGUUGCAUGCCAAUUAAGGUAUUGUGUUUUUUUUUUAGAUGUUAUUGUUUUGAUUUAGGUGAAAUUUGAGAUCUUAGCGUGACGCAAUAGUGGGAAAACAAUCACUAGUGAGAGAGCUCAACAUGAGAUAAAAUGGACAGGUCCCAAGUCAUUUCACAAUAUCAAAACUACUUCCACUAAUCCACUUAUUUUAUGCAUAAAAAGCAUAUUGUACAGUCUGGUUAAACUGAGAUCAAAAACUAUUUUUGGGGGAAUGGAAGAGUCCUUUAGAAAUAACGUACAUUCUGAAUAUUUUUCAGUUUUUUUCCUCACUGGAGCUUUAAGCUUUUACACGGGGAGUACAUUUAGUAGAUGUAACAUGAAGCAAAAUGAAAUUUGCCGCUGCAUUGCAUAAUACAAAACAUAAUGAUUUGGUGUUAGCGAAUGUGAAUUUUCUAAUCAGCAUAUUACUAAUGCCAUAACGCAAUUAAAGUGAUGGCAGCAGAAAUGUUUCCCCUUUAGAGUUAAGACCCUAAAAUGAAUUGCAUUUUAUGUGCACCUAGUUUAAGCAGUUUAUAAAGGUUUAGCCAAAAAGGAACUUUUAGGAGGUGGUAUGGGGUAUGGCUGUCC